UACGUAGGUGUCGAGCGUUGUCCGGAUUUAUUGGGCGUAAAGAGCCCGCAGGCGGCUUGGCAAGUUUGAGGUGAAAUCUCCCGGCUUAACUGGGAGGGGCCUCGAAAACUGCCAGGCUUGAGGCAUGGAGAGGGAUGCGGAAUUCCCGGUGUAGUGGUGAAAUGCGUAGAGAUCGGGAGGAACACCUGGUGGCGAAGGCGGCCCCCUGGGCCGGCCCUGACACUGAGACGCGAAGGCGUGGGGAGCGAACGGG
rnacentral:rRNA from 1 species